rnacentral:sRNA from 1 species
AAGCCAACUCAGACUCAGCCAACAGGUAAGUGGGCAUUACAGGAGAAGGGCACCUCUAACAUGCACUGUAGAUCUAAAAUCUUCAGGAAGAUACAGCAUGAGUUUCUGUCCAAGAGGUUUUAGCUGUAAUGAAGCCUCAGUGGGAUCCAAAGUUGUUUUUCAGUUACUGAGUCUGUAUAAUCCCCACUCUCAAGAGAAACAUUUGAAGGUGUGGGUGUCUCAGAGGACCUUCCUGGUCUCAGAAAUUCUGAGAGGAGGUUUUAAGGAAGGUAAUAGGUGCUUUGCUCUCCAUCUCUCAGAACCCCCUUCUCUGUGUUCUCCUAUAGAGAUUGUUGAUUUGCCUCUUAAGCAAGAGAUUCAUUGCAGCUCAGCAUGGCUCAGACCAGCUCAUACUUCAUGCUGAUCUCCUGCCUGAUGUUCCUGUCUCAGAGCCAAGGCCAAGAGGCCCAGACAGAGUUGCCCCAGGCCCGGAUCAGCUGCCCAGAAGGCACCAAUGCCUAUCGCUCCUACUGCUACUACUUUAAUGAAGACCGUGAGACCUGGGUUGAUGCAGAUGUGAGUGAGG